GGGGGUUCUAAAAUUUUUAUAUCCUAAGGGGAUUAUGAAGGGACCCCUCAAUGGGGGGGGGUGCCUAUAUUAAAUGGAAUGGCCCAAGAGUAAUAACCAUAUCUAUUCACUCCUGGAUACAAAUAGUCUAAAUUUCACUCUAGAUUCGAUCUCUAAAAUAAUUUGACAUUAUUCUCUUACUUUUACUUACCCGGUCAGGCAAGACUUUACACAAACACUUGUGGCACAUAUCAAAGCUUAAACUUACUUUGUGAUAAAGUUUAACAAUUUACAAAAUUGAAAACCACGAAAUUUUUAAUAUACUGUACCCACGUGAAAAUUUUAAAAUUGUCAAAUUUACAUCUAUACGAACUAUGCACCCCGGGUUUUUGUAUUCGAACUAUAGACCCGGAGAAUUUCUCCUGGGAAAUAAUUCUCGUAUACGGGCUAUGUACCUGGUCCUUAAAGCCGAGAGAAGGAUUACCCGGUUACAGAGAAGUGGUGAAAAAUAAAAUGGAGUUAUAUUUCCAGUUAGCCACCAUUUGCUGCUCUGAAAUUCUGUUUAAACUGUCAACGUUUCUGUGAACACAGUAGGAAUUUUGCAUCGGUAAAUUCUAAGUUUUUGAAGGAUUUGUAAGGCACUUGUAAGAAUCUAUGGCUAUGCAAAAUUCUUUCUGUGAUCACAGAAACUUUGAUAGUGUAAUGACUAAUGAGUAAUGUGCCUUCUCUGAAAUUCAACUCAACCAAUAUUAUUUUAAAUAUUUCGGCAUAAUUUUGUGCGACACAAAACGAAUAAACACUCUCUGAUUUUAUUGUUUUGUUAGAACUAAAACAGCGGACGGGACGAGACCACAUUCUUUCAGAGUUUUCUCCAUGUCCACUGCAGUGAAUGUUUUCUUGGGAAAUGUCGUUGACAGCGCAAACGGUUGAGCGCCGUCAGUUCUGUUAGCCUCGACGUGAGAGAUGAUACUUGAUAGUAUGUCUGUUGGUUUAAAUGUUCCCGUGAUAGCCGUACCAUCGGUUAGACGAAACU